rnacentral:miRNA from 1 species
AGGUGGGAGGAUUGCUUGAGCCUGGGAGGUGGAGGUUGCAGUGAGCCGAGAUCGCACCACUGCGCUCCAGCCUGGGUGACAGAGUGAGACCUUGUCUC